rnacentral:tRNA from 1 species
GCCAGCUGGCUUAGUCGGUUGAGCAUCUGACUUCAGCUCAGGUCAUGAUCUUCCGGUCCGUGGGUUCUAGCCCCAUGUUAGGCU